rnacentral:rRNA from 1 species
AUGGCGGCCGGAGCAGGAGGAGACGACCUGAAGCUGCUGGGCAUGUGGGCGAGCCCGGCCGUGCUGCGGGUGCGCCUCGCUCUCAGCAUCAAGGGCAUCAGCAGCUACGAGUACCAAGAGGAGGACUUCGACAACAAGAGCGAGCUGCUCCUCCGCUCCAACCCCGUCCACAAGAUGGUCCCCGUGCUGAUCCACGCCGGCAAGCCCGUCUGCGAGUCGACGGUCAUCAUACAGUACCUCGACGAGGCUUUCGCCGGCGACGCCCUCCUCCCGGCCGGCCCCCACGAGCGCGCCGUCGCCCGGUUCUGGGCCGCCUUCGUCGACGACACGCUCCUGAAGGCCAUGUACCAGGCGUCGUGGAGCAAGACGGAGGAGGAGAAAGCGGAGGGGAGGAAAAAGGUGGCCGCCGCCAUGAAGACCCUGGACGGAGCCCUUAGCGACGUCGCCGGAGGGAAGCCGUUCUUUGGCGGCAACGCCCCCGGGUACGUGGACACGGUGCUCGGCGGCCUCCUCGCGUGGGUGCGCUCCGUGGACGUGAUCAAUGGCGUCAAGACCAUCGACCCUGAGACGAUGCCGCUCCUGGCCGCGUGGGCGGACCGCUUCGGCGCGCUGGACGCGGUGGAGGCGGUCAUGCCGGACGUGGACAGGCUGGUGGAGUUCUCCUUGUCCUUGACAACGUAG